rnacentral:rRNA from 1 species
GUUGACCUCGGAUCAGGUAGGGAUACCCGCUGAACUUAAGCAUAUCAAUAAGCGGAGGAAAAGAAACCAACAGGGAUUGCCUCAGUAACGGCGAGUGAAGCGGCAACAGCUCAAAUUUGAAAUCUGGCGCAAGCCCGAGUUGUAAUUUGUAGAGGAUGCUUCAGGGCAGCGGCCGGUCUAAGUUCCUUGGAACAGGACGUCAUAGAGGGUGAGAAUCCCGUAUGCGACCGGUUGGCACCCGUCACGUAGCUCCUUCGACGAGUCGAGUUGUUUGGGAAUGCAGCUCUAAAUGGGUGGUAAAUUCCAUCUAAAGCUAAAUACCGGCCAGAGACCGAUAGCGCACAAGUAGAGUGAUCGAAAGAUGAAAAGCACUUUGGAAAGAGAGUUAAAAAGCACGUGAAAUUGUUGAAAGGGAAGCGCAUGCAACCAGACUUGUCGGCGGUGUUCCGCCGGUCUUCUGACCGGUCUACUCGCCGCCGGCAGGCCAGCAUCAUCUGGGUGCGCCGGAUAAAGGCGUGGGGAAUGUAGCUCCUCGGAGUGUUAUAGCCCCGCGCACAAUACGGCGCCGCCCGGGUGAGGUCCGCGCUUCGGCUAGGAUGCUGGCGUAAUGGUUGUAUGCGGCCCGUCUUGAAACACGGACCAAGGAGUCUAACAUCUAUGCGAGUGUUCGGGUGUCAAACCCCUACGCGGAAUGAAAGUGAACGGAGGUGGGAAGCGCAAGCUGCACCAUCGACCGAUCCUGAUGUCUUCGGAUGGAUUUGAGUAAGAGCAUAGCUGUUGGGACCCGAAAGAUGGUGAACUAUGCCUAAAUAGGGUGAAGCCAGAGGAAACUCUGGUGGAGGCUCGCAGCGGUUCUGACGUGCAAAUCGAUCGUCAAAUUUGGGUAUAGGGGCGAAAGACUAAUCGAACCAUCUAGUAG